UGAUUUUCAUUUGAUAUUAGACAUUGUUCAGAUCCUUGCUCGUCUAUAUUUUCAAGGGAAGCUUCCUAUUACAAUGUCAUAUGUUCAGGCUUCUGUUUUGCUAUGCAUUGGUUUGCAGCAUCAGAACAUUACAUGCAUGGAGGAACAAAUGAAGUUGGAAAGGACGCAGAUUCUGUCCCUUUUCAUAAAGGUUAUGAAGAAGUUCCAUAAAUAUCUUAAUGGUAUUGCAUCCAAUGAGAUUGAAUCAACCUUACCCCGAUUAAAAGAGAGAGUGCUGGAACCUCACAACAUCUCUGUGGAGGAUGAUCUCAAUGAAGCAGCAAAACAAGUUGAGGAUGGGAUGAAAACCAAAAUGGAGGAUAUGCUGAAUCCUGAGCUUCUCCAACAGUAUGCCAUCGUCGACAGAGAAGGUGAUUUUGAGAAUGCAUUGAAAAAUGGUGGAAAGAUAACCUUAGGUGGCCUUAUUAGUGUGAAAUCCAGUAGAACUAGAGUGGAAAAACAUGGAAAGCAUGAUGGUCACAAGAGUGGGAAAAAGCGGAACGGGGAUGACGGCUCCAAAUCAAAUAAAAAGAGCAAAUCUUAAUAACCAAUCAUAAUGAUAUUAUGAGAAUAUUAGUCAUGCUUGAAAGCCUCGUGAAAGGUGAGUAGGGUGGAUGCCUGCUGCAUUUAGUGAUGUUAACCAUUCAUGACGCGAAAAUUUACUUUAGGUGGUUCAGAAUUUUGGAACUAAAGACCGAG
rnacentral:misc_RNA from 1 species